ensembl:lncRNA
CCUCAUUAAAGUCCAGUAGAUCACUUCCUACUCAUCACUACAUCCUGUAUCUGGUCCUCAUUAAAGUCCAGUAGAUCACUUCCUACUCAUCACUACAUCCUGUAUCUGGUCCUCAUUAAAGUCCCGUAGAUCACUUCCUUAUUCACUCUUUUUGUUUGGUUUAUAAAGCUCUACUAUACAUGGUGGGUUAACUCUGAGGUUCCUAGGGUCGCCACCAAAUUAGGAGAAUCCGCUUUUAAUUUUAAUGUGCCUCACUGCAGAACGAAUAACAAUAGGAUAUUCUGGUGCAGUUUAGUGUGUUGGGGACCUAGUAGCUGAGGAAAGGAACGUUGUUGUGCUUUUAAAAAAAAACAUUUUAUAAGGCAUUGUAUUGAUUACUGUUUGGUUUCACAUCGUUUUUUUAUUUAUUGUUGUAGUACUGUAAAUCAGGGCACCCUGGGGGAUGACACCCUGGUCUCAUUGGUUUUCCCCUGAAUAAAUGAAAAAAAAAAAAAAAUGACAGAUCUGGAUUUAUGGUGGUGUGUGGGUCUGGCUGGUUGCCCAGGCGACUGACGACAGUAGACCUAUCCCUGACCUGCAGAUCUUUAGGCAUAGUGGAGACAGGACUCCACCUGCUGGUAAGAACCUAUUAUCAGAAUCUUCAUCCAUCCACUCCUCAUCAUCACCUCUCAAGCAAGGUUCAUGUGUAGUGGCAUGAUUUAAGCUACUGAUAUUGAAGGCGUAACCCGGGACUCGAUCCCGGGUCCAGCGACUAUCAAGCCAACACAUGAAAUCGCUACAUUAUAUCGGUUAACUCUGACACAACACCUUAAGACAUAGCCCACACAUGAACAAUGUAACCACGGACGUGGAGGGGGAAAAAAAAGACUGAUCCUAAAACAUAAAUUGACAGAUUUAAAUCAUCAAGGCACAACAAUCAUUGUCAGCUGAAAGGUCAAAAGGUCAGUUGAUAGAUGAGGUAGAACAACACGAGAGGCAUCUAUGGACAAUAUCGUCUCUGUCCCAAAUGGCACCAAAUCGAUUCCCUAUAUAGUGCACUACUUUUAACCAGGGCCUAUAGGGCUUUGGUCAAAUGUAGUGCACUAGGUAGGGAAUAGGGUGGCAUUUAUGGGUCUACCAUCCAUCAUUACCCAUAAUGCUUCAGGAAGGUUCUGUUUUUGACAAUAACUAUAAUGAUACAGUCUCCAGUCCACCAGUACAGGUAUUGUGAUACAGUCCACCAGUACAGGUAUUGUGAUAGUCUCCAGUCCACUAGUACAGGUAUUGUGAUACAGUCCACCAGUACAGGUAUUGUGAUACAGUCCACUAGUACAGGUAUUGUGAUACAGUCCACUAGUACAGGUAUUGUGAUACAGUCCACUAGUACAGGUAUUGUGAUACAGUCCACUAGUACAGGUAUUGUGAUACAGUCCACUAGUACAGGUAUUGUGAUACAGUCCACUAGUACAGGUAUUGUGAUACAGUCUCCAGUCCACCAGUACAGGUAUUGUGAUACAGUCCACUAGUACAGGUUUUUUUUUAACCUAGGAAUAUAGUGUUCUCUGCAGUGUGUUCUCUGCUGUCUGUGCAGUGUGUUCUCUGCUGUCUGUGCAGUGUGUUCUCUGCUGUCUGUGCUGUGCAGUGUGUUCUCUGCUGUCUGUGCAGUGUGUUCUCUGCUGUCUGUGCUGUGCAGUGUGUUCUCUGCAGUCUGUGCAGUGUGUUCUCUGCUUUCUGUUCUGUGCAGUGUGUUCUCUGCUGUCUGUGCUGUGCAGUGUGUUCUCUGCUGUCUGU